UACGUAGGUGGCAAGCGUUGUCCGGAAUCAUUGGGCGUAAAGCGCGCGUAGGUGGCCAUGUAAGUCCGCUGUGAAAGUCAAAGGCUCAACCUUUGAAAGCCGGUGGAUACUGCAUGGCUAGAGUACGGAAGAGGCGAGUGGAAUUCCUGGUGUAGCGGUGGAAUGCGCAGAUAUCAGGAGGAACACCAAUAGCGAAGGCAGCUCGCUGGGACGUUACUGACACUGAGGCGCGAAAGCGUGGGGGAGCGAACAGG
rnacentral:rRNA from 1 species